UAACCCUCUCUAAAUCCCCUCACCCUCUCUCCUGUGUGGAUUCGUCCCUCACCGGAUCGAAUCCUCCGAGCCGGCGGUCUGCAGGGCCGGGCGGGAGCGGCGCGUCCCCGUUGGCGUGUCGGUGGUGACGGCCCCGCGGAUCGAGGCUGACCCCCAACGGUGCUGGCGCUGCGUCGAUCUGGCGCGCGCUUCUGCUCGAGGGGCAGCGUGGUUCAGCGACGACGAGAUGCUCGUCCAUCUCCUCCUCAUCGACCAAAUCGUCCAGGAUUCCUCAUCCACCGCCGCGCCCAAGUUUCAGUGCGCCAUCUACUCGGCUCCUACCUCAAUGUUGCUGAGUUCAGGUCACAACAUUGUGAUCUCCUUUUUCUUCGAGAAGAAUCCAUCCAAUGCUCUGAUCUAGAAAAGGCAACAAAAGUAGUUUCAUUCGUCCAUGGAUACUUGGUCCGGCCUCUCGAGAAAGGGCUAUACUAUAUAUGCUGCAAUAUGCACUUGCCGCCCUGUACGAAUUCAAGCAAUCAGCACUAUGAUUAUUCCGUCUGUACACAAUUGCCUUUGCUUUCUCAACCAUGGGUACAGUUUCUCUCAUCUUUUCUGGAGAUCCCACACUAUUCCUUCGGAGCAGGAAGUGCACUUUUGAAAGGUGUUAGCAUGCUUCAUAAUUGCCUAUGCACCUGGUACCUAUAUGAUGUUAGUAUCAGUUGCUCCUGUGACUGCCAUGGGGGUCUCUCUCAUCAGUUUACUCAUAGUGUUCAAUCCAAUUUGGGAAUUUAAAAUCAAGGGUAUUGUUCUGUUAGUGGCAUUCUGCAAGAGAAAGGGGAUAUGGUAUGGGGUAGUCAUCAUGGCAAACCCAAUUGCAGCCUUAUUGUCUGUGACAUUCGUGUCCCUUAUUCUACUUCUACUACUGGACUUGUCGUUGGUCUCGAUGAGUCAUCUGGUGGCAAAGUGGAACCACGUACCAGCACAACCACCGACACCAUUCAU